GAUUGCUUCUUUUGUUCUACUACAAAUAUGCUCCACAUGGCAGGGAGAGUUAUGCUCCUAAAUUUCUUAUUUUGUGCAUUGUGAAAUGAUUGUUCUAACAACAUCAAGUUUGUGUUCUUCAUAUAAUCUAUCUCAGAUUGCUCUAUGUUUUGCAGGUCUCGAGGUCAAGCCUGGACCCACUGUCAAGUGUGUGCUUGGACAUGACUUUAUCCUGCACUUUCCAGUGCUGCACUUGGGGAAUCAAAGAAAAGUGAAAGUGCCAUGUCAAAGUUGAUGACCAGAAGCUUGCUAUUGGAACCCUCUCUAUUGAAAAAUACCCCUAGAUAGAAAUUGAUUUGGUUUUCAAUAAAGAGUAUGAAGAGAAGGAGCUAAACAUUCCAGUAAUCAAGGAAAAUGG